AAAGCAUUGAAAAAAAUGUAACGCUGAUAUUAUUUGCUAAAAUAUUUGUGGCCAUGAUGUUGCUUUUAACAUUUUUCACUCUUUUGAAAAUUUGUUUAGCCGCUGAGGUAACCUGGAACGAGGUCCGAUUUGUGGUAUCUCUAAACUACAAAAAUUACUCUGACUUUUGUAGUGGAACUUUUGUAAGGGACAGAUUUACCAUCUUAACGGCAGCUUCCUGCUUUUCAGUUUUGGGCAAAAACUAUGAUUACAAAUCUAUCGAAGUGCAUGUUAACAGCUAUCCAGAUAAAUAUCUCGCUCGCUAUCUGGCUAUACAUCCAAAAUUUUCUCCAAACAAACCCGGUUUGAACGACGUGGCCUUAAUUGCCCUAAAACCUACCUUUAUUAGCCUUUUGAUGAAUUACGCGCCUUACAAUUCCAUUCAGCUCUUCAACAUAGCUACAGUCAAUAAAUACGCUGUAGUUUUUGCAGUAGAGUUAGACGCUGGAAAAGGAUUAGUUCAUAAAAGAAUGCUGACAGUUGUUAGUUCCGAAGAAAAGUUUUGCAAAAAUACCGAAAGUACCGUUUGUGCUAAAGAUUCAAAACCGGACCAACGUUGUGGCAAAAAUUUUGGUGGACCUGUUGUAGACAAGGCCAGUGGAAACCUCGUUGGUAUUAUUGCCUACAAACCUAAGUCAAAGUGUUCGCCAGACCAUGCGGAAGGGUUUGUAAGGCUAUCAAACUACAUUGAAUGGAUCGACGACACAUUGAGCAAUUUAUCGUCAUCUUUUCUCAAUUAUUUGUUCGAAUAAUAUGUAAAGCAAAUAAAUCUCUAUGCCUCUAUGG